rnacentral:rRNA from 1 species
CCUACGGGAGGCUGCAGUGGGGAAUAUUGCACAAUGGGCGAAACCCUGAUGCAGCGACGCCGCGUGAGCGAUGAAGUAUUUCGGUAUGUAAAGCUCUAUCAGCAGGGAAGAAAAUGACGGUACCUGUCUACGAAGCCCUGGCCAAUUACGUGCCAGCAGCCGCGGUAAUACGCAGGGGGCAAGCGUUAUCCGGAUUUACUGGGUGUAAAGGGAGCGUAGACGGCGGUGCAAGUCAGAUGUGAAAGCCCGGGGCUCAACCCGGGGACUGCAUUUGGAACUGUGCUGCUAGAGUGUCGGAGAGGCAGGCGGAAUUCCUAGUGUAGCGGUGAAAUGCGUAGAUAUUAGGAGGAACACCAGUGGCGAAGGCGGCCUGCUGGACGAUGACUGACGUUGAGGCUCGAAAGCGUGGGGAGCAAACAGGAUUAGAUACCCUAGUAGUC